ACGGUUGUAGUUCAAUGGUAGAAUGUACGGUUGUGGUCCGUGAGACGCGGGUUCGAUUCCCGCCUUCCGUC
rnacentral:tRNA from 1 species